rnacentral:tRNA from 1 species
GGUGUUGUGGCUCACUGGUAGAGUGCUUGCCUAGCAUGUGUGAGGCACUGGGUUCGAUUCUCAGCACCACAU